rnacentral:lncRNA from 1 species
CAAUUCCAAGAGCCACGAAAGAGUUUCUCACCUAAGGAAUUCCAGUUGCAAUUAAAUUCAACAUCAAAAGAAGAGUCACAAGCCAAAUUAAAAAGGGAUUUCAAAACCCUAGAAGGAUGGAACUCUUCAACUAUAAAAGGGCAACCUCCAAACCAGCAAAGGCAUCUUCUGCUGAGGAAUUGAACUCGCCAGAAACUCUCCAGCAUCUUCCUUUUUCUUUUCCUUUCAUCUUUUUGUGUACUUAGUCCACCAUGAGUGGCUAAACUCUUUUCUUUUCUAGUUGAAGUUGGUGAAUUUCAUAUUUGUGUGAUGAAUUGGGAGAUUUAAAAUCUCCAUUGUUAAACUUCUAUUUCUUUUCAAUAUUUAUGCAAUUUGAGCUUUCCAUAAUUAUUACUUUGCUUUUAGAAUCAAUAAGGGCCCAUUGUUUUUAAAUUGCUUAAGUAAUAUUAUUUGAAUGAUUUAGGUCCGUA